rnacentral:rRNA from 1 species
CCUACGGGGGGCAGCAGUGGGGAAUAUUGCACAAUGGGCGCAAGCCUGAUGCAGCCAUGCCGCGUGUGUGAAGAAGGCCUUCGGGUUGUAAAGCACUUUCAGCGGGGAGGAAGGCGGUGAGGUUAAUAACCUCAUCGAUUGACGUUACCCACAGAAGAAGCACCGGCUAACUCCGUGCCAGCAGCCGCGGUAAUACGGAGGGUGCAAGCGUUAAUCGGAAUUACUGGGCGUAAAGCGCACGCAGGCGGUCUGUCAAGUCGGAUGUGGAAUCCCCGGGCUCAACCUGGGAACUGCAUUCGAAACUGGCAGGCUAGAGUCUUGUAGAGGGGGGUAGAAUUCCAGGUGUAGCGGUGAAAUGCGUAGAGAUCUGGAGGAAUACCGGUGGCGAAGGCGGCCCCCUGGACAAAGACUGACGCUCAGGUGCGAAAGCGUGGGGAGCAAACAGGAUUAGAUACCCUAGUAGUC